rnacentral:misc_RNA from 1 species
UCCCCGCUUAUGGGGUGACGUCGAUCAUCGGCCGGCGGAGGGACAUGGAGGAUGCUGUCGCUAUCCAUCCGGACUUCCUCCCAGGCGGUGGAUGUCAUUUCUUUGGUGUCUUCGAUGGUCAUGGUUGCUCACAUGUUGCUACAUCAUGCAAAAAGUGGAUGCAUGAGACGGUGGCAGAGGAGAUGGGAUCUGAUGCUCCGCCGAAGGCGGAGCAGACGGAGGUCUGGAAGGAGGUGAUGGAGAGG